rnacentral:lncRNA from 1 species
AAAAAAAAGCUCUGAAAAGCUCUCCCCUCCCCCGAUAUCCGGCAUCCGGUCCAGUCAUCGGCCACCGCGCCGGCCGCCGAUCUCCAGCACCGGCACCGUCGUAUGCGGUGGCCGUAAAAGAAAAAAAUCUCGGAUCUGGUCCCUCCGAAGCCCUCAAAUGCAGAUCCAGGUUAUUUCUUUCCUUUUAUUUGUCUUCUUAUUCGUAUAAAAGUAAAUAAAAAAAAUAUAAAAAUAGUAAAUAUCAACCUUUGAAUCGAUUGUAUUGCUCUUGGUGUUUGUUGUUUUCGACUGUGGAAUAUGGAUGUUUUUAUUGAUUGCGAAUUCCCCCUUGUUUUACAGCAUUACAAUGGCUAUUUUAUAGCCGUAUGUAAUCAAUCUAAAGAAGAAACAAAUCUGUUUCUUUAUUUAAUUUACAAAUCUUUUGAUUCACUUUCCAUUUUUGUUUUUCCUUGAUGCGCAGGUGAAGAUCUACGGAGAUUCGGGGGCAUGGUUGCGGCGGCCAAAGUUUACCCUAGAACUCUAGAGUUUCUGAAAUUGUUCUUGGGCCUGGGGGUUAAUUUUGGGCCAAUCGUUGUUGUGUUUUGGUUUGGAUUUUGGGCCCAAAAAACUGUUGUAUUUGGACUGUUUUUCUUCACGAAGGCCGGGCAAAUUUGACCCAUUACAAUUAUAAUGACGGUUCUAAUUAUAAUUACACUCAAUAAUUAUUCUUAUAUAUUUAUUUUAAAAAACUUGGGCUGGAAAAAAGCCAUGUCCUAAAUAUUGAUUUGUAAAGUGCACGGGUAUUAAGUCUGAAAAACCCAUUAAACGUGCAGCUCGUGUCUUGCACACGUGAAAGUGAAGUGUGAUUUUUGUGGCCGAUGUUGUUAGAUUCAAAUGAUUUUUCUUAAAUA